UUUGCAUCUUCCACAAAAAAAAAACACUGCAACGAAUCGGCUUGCAUAGUAAUGCAUCUGGGAUUCCUAGGUGGGACAAUCCAAAAGAUAGCCUCAAUAAUCACGGCUCGAGUUGUUUCCGGUACGACAAGCUGUGGCGAAGUAGUUAGCGCCGUCAAACUAGUGUUUACUCUCGAACAGCUGUUCGAGGUCACGCAGGACAAUGACUCGGUGGAACCAAAAUCUAAGGUUGACCGAUGCUGUUGGUGAAGGUAUCGGUUCGGCCGGCAUCGUAAGAACUGGGUCCAGAUAGGAACUACUGGGCAGGGCACAUCAACUCGAAAAACGCGUCGCGACUGGAACCCGAGAAUCAAUAAUGUGGCAAUUGCACUACAUCACAGGAAGGACUAUUUUGUCCGGUUCUGCUGACGGCAUAAAAUAUCGGACGGAGCGUCAAUCUUGAUGUCGGGGAUCUCGCAUGCCUGUGACGGUUUUGAUCCUGGCCUCAACUCGAGCAAUAGCAUCCAGCCGGGAACGAUGUUCCCGUCGCACUCAGUUAAACAGUGCGCUGCUGCGGUUUCGUUAUCAUCGCAGAUUUGUAGCCUUCGAUGAUGAGUUCGCUUCCGGUACGGCGGCACCUAGCUAAACGAAACGGCGCGAUCGAGCAGUACGUUGGAGGUCAAAUUUGUAUUUGUAAUUAGAGCGGUUUUACCCCGAUGGUCAACAGAUUCGGCACGCUCAGAAGAAACUCCAGGGGCCCUUCGUGGAUGCGUACAUUUUCAAGAUUUACGUCCAUGAGCCGCAUGCUUAUUACCGAACAAAACUCCUCCCGCGAAAGGCGUGCGGCAAACGAUCCACGGCACCAACAUCAGACGUCAGUUUUGGCAGAACCAGUCGACGACAUGAUCAUGGUAAUCUAACAGGUUCAGCUAUGGUCAGCCGAUGACGUUUCAAUAAAAACCGUGAGUAAAGUAAGAAUUCUGUGUUAUUGUUUUGCUAAUCACA